rnacentral:rRNA from 1 species
AAAACAUGUCCUUUAGAAUUUAAUUUAAGGUCUGACCUGCCCACUGAAUUAAAUGGCCGCAGUAUUUUAACUGUGCAAAGGUAGCAUAAUCAUUAGUCUUUUAAUUGAAGGCUUGUAUGAAUGGUUGGACGAAAUAUUAACUGUUUCAUAAAAAUUUAUUUAGAAUUUUAUUUUUUAGUCAAAAAGCUAAAAUUUUUUUAAAAGACGAGAAGACCCUAUAGAUCUUUAUAAUUUGUAGGUUAUAGUUAUAUAGAUUAUUUAAAUUAUAAUUAUAUAAAUUAUUUUGUUGGGGUGACAUUAAAAUUUAAUUAACUUUUAAUAAAUUUUUACAUUAAUUUAUGAUUAAUUGAUCCAUUAUUAGUGAUUAAAAAAUUAAGUUACCUUAGGGAUAACAGCGUAAUUUUUUUGAAGAGUUCAUAUCGAUAAAAAAGAUUGCGACCUCGAUGUUGGAUUAAGAUAUAAUUUUGGGUGCAGCAAUUCAAAUAUUAAGUCUGUUCGACUUUUAAUUUCUUACAUGA